rnacentral:lncRNA from 1 species
CCCGCCGCUGAUAGCAGAUAACAGCACCCUGAGUUGUGGUUUUUUAAGACACCAACUAGUGGCACCAGGUUGGGAGAACAGGGUGAGAACCAAAUAGUAUCGGGACCCAGCUGCAGUUAGGGACAGAGGACAGUGUAUGUGUGCUUGGGGGAAGGACACUGGGGACCCCAAAGCUGCUCAGGGGGAUGUGGGGACCCCAGGGCUGAACGAUAGACCUGUUUCACACUGUUCCAGCUUCCUCAGGAAGGUCUGCAAAGACCUGAAUUCCUUGCGCCCUGGAGUCUCCAUGUGAAGGCCUGAAGCACCAAAGGCCCUCUUCGCUGGAAUCACGGUGCAAUCCACGGGGAAGCGUCGCUGGGCUGCAUGCAGAGGGGUCAGAGAUGAGACUCGUUCACCCUCCCACGCCCCCGUUUGACAGGUGAGGACGCUGAGGCCAGUGAGCGCAGAGUGAGACUCGAACUUGGGACAUCUGGCUGAUUCUUGCGCAGAGAGGUUGUGACCACUCUCCAAGUGGGUGCAGCUGGGAGAAAGAGGCCCUUGGGCGAGCCGGACCAAGCUCACAUUGCCCCUCUAGCUCCUACUUGCAGCCAAGCAGCCUGGAUUCGCCAGGCCUCAGUAUUCCCCUCUGGCAGAUGGGUUGAGCACCCCUUUACCACUCAAUCAUAAAUGUCCCUGCUUGUGGCUUCAACCGCCCUUCCACGUGUCCACCCCAUGUCAUCAGCCUCCACUUAAACCUCUUGGCUUGGCACCUGUCUCGGGGUAACAUCCACGCACCCUGC